AUUGAACGCUGGCGGCAGGCCUAACACAUGCAAGUCGAACGAGUGGCGGACGGGUGAGUAAUGUAUGGGGAUCUAGCCGAUGGAUGGGGAUAACUACGGGAAACGGUAGCUAAUACCGCUUACCAUAGGAUGAGCCCAAGUGGGAUUAGGUAGUAGGUGGGGUAAAGGCUCACCAAGUCGACGAUCUCUAGCUGGUCUGAGAGGAUGACCAGCCACACUGGGACUGAGACACGGCCCAGACUCCUACGGGAGGCAGCAGUGGGGAAUAUUGCACAAUGGGCGCAAGCCUGAUGCAGCCAUGCCGCGUGUAUGAAGAAGGCCUUAGGGUUGUAAAGUACUUUCAGCGGGGAGGCGUUACCCGCAGAAGAAGCACCGGCUAACUCCGUGCCAGCAGCCGCGGUAAUAC
rnacentral:rRNA from 1 species